rnacentral:misc_RNA from 1 species
AGCAUGUGAGAAAAAUGGUCUGCCAGAUAUCAAGCUAACCAGCAACUACCAUCUUCCUUCAAUUUCACUUCUCCAUUUCUCUCUCUCUCUAAAACUCAAACCCUAUUCUCUCUCUUCUUUCAUCUUACUGCUGCAUUCAAUUUACUUCGUUUGGUGUUUGUCAACUCAGCGAUGGCCUGAAGUUUGCUGCUUUUGGAUCUCUCUGUCUAUUCCUCAUCUUUAAGUGAUUUCUGCGGAUUACUAUAGGCUUGUGCAGCAUCUAUGGCAGACGACAGUAAAUUCUGUUUUUUCUUUGUUUCGUCAUUUUUGUUGUUGGCUAUUGUGAUUAAUGUGACAUUUGCUGCCAAUUAUGUGCCUGGUGAUGAUAUUCUGUUGAACUGUGGCGGUCCUGACAAUCUCCCAGAUGCUGAUGGUCGGAAAUGGGGCACAGAUGUUGGGUCAAAAUAUAUGUUGGGUAGUAAGUCAUCAAUCUCUGAUGCUGCUGAUCAAAAGCCCUCUGUCCCUCAAGUUCCUUUUAUGUCUGCCCGUGUAUUCCAGUCUGAGUUCACCUAUAGUUUCCCUGUAGCAUCUGGUCGUAAGUUUGUCCGUCUCUAUUUCUAUCCCUCGUCUUACAACAAGCUAAAUGCUACCAAUGCCAUCUUCGAUGUGGCCUCCGGACAAUAUACCUUACUUAGAAAUUUCAGUGCAGCACAAACUGCUGAAGCUCUCAACUAUGAUUACUUGACCAAGGAAUUCUCAAUAAAUGUGCCAUCUGAAACUUUGAACAUCACUUUCACACCCUCUCCAAAUACCUCAAACUCCUUUGCGUUUGUCAAUGGGAUUGAGAUUAUUUCACAUCCUGAUAUCUAUAACACAGAAGAUGGAAAUACCUUCAUUGUGGGUCAGAAAUCCCCUUUCAUCAUUGACAAUUCUACUGCCUUGGAAAAUAUCUAUCGCCUUAAUGUGGGAGGCAAUGUAAUCUCACCAUCAGGUGAUACUGGUAUGUUUAGGUCAUGGGGUGACGACUCAAAUUAUAUUUUUGGAGCAGCCACCGGAGUCACCAAUACUGCCGAUGAUGAGAAUGUCACAAUAACCUAUGGUAAUGGGCAGCCUACCUACAUUGCCCCACUUGAUGUCUAUAAGACAGCUAGGUCAAUGGGUCCAACUUUUCAAAUUAACCAGCAAUUCAAUUUGAGCUGGGUUUUCUCAGUUGAUUCAGGGUUCUCUUAUCUUGUUAGGCUCCAUUUCUGUGAAAUCACUAGAAAUAUCACAAAAGUCAACCAGAGGGUGUUUAUCAUCUACAUGAAUAAUCAGACUGCGGAACCUGCAGCAGAUGUCAUUGCUUGGGCUGAUGGCAAUGGAAUUCCUUUUCACAAGGAUUAUGUGGUCUCUGUACCUCGUGGGGCUUCACAGCAGGAUCUUUGGCUUGCCCUCCAUCCAAAUGUUGCUUCAAAAUCCAAUUGGUAUGAUGCAAUUUUGAAUGGAAUAGAGAUUUUCAAAGUGAGUGACACCAAUAAUAACCUUGCUGGGCCUAAUCCUGUUCCAGUUGCAGAACCAGAUCAUAUUGACCCUCUGCCAUCCAAAACAGGUGAAUCAAAAAAUAAUAAAUCAGCUAUUGGUGGAGGCGUUGGAGGAGGGAUUGCUGCUGUAGUUCUUAUUGGUUUAGUUGCAUGCCUUGUCAUGCGCCGCCGGAAUCGUGGGAAGGUCCAAAGUCCAAGUGAUGGACCAUCAGGCUGGCUCCCUCUUUCUUUGUAUGGAAAUUCACAUACGUCUGGUUCUGCUAAGACAAACACUACUGGCAGUUAUGCUUCGUCCCUUCCAUCAAACCUUUGUCGUCACUUUUCAUUUGCUGAGAUCAAGGCAGCCACCAAUAACUUCGAUGAAGCACUGCUUCUUGGGGUGGGUGGUUUUGGCAAAGUAUACCAGGGAGAAAUUGACGGUGGCACAAAAGUUGCUAUCAAACGUGGGAAUCCUCUCUCCGAGCAAGGUGUUCAUGAAUUCCAAACUGAAAUUGAAAUGCUCUCAAAA